AACGAACGCUGGCGGCAUGCCUAACACAUGCAAGUCGAACGAGACCUUCGGGUCUAGUGGCGCACGGGUGCGUAACGCAUGGGAACCUGCCCUUAGGUUCGGAAUAACUCCCCGAAAGGGGUGCUAAUACCGGAUAAUGUCUUCGGACCAAAGAUUUAUCGCCUUUGGAUGGGCCCGCGUUGGAUUAGCUAGUUGGCAGGGUAAAAGCCUACCAAGGCGACGAUCCAUAGCUGGUCUGAGAGGAUGAUCAGCCACACUGGGACUGAGACACGGCCCAGACUCCUACGGGAGGCAGCAGUGGGGAAUAUUGGACAAUGGGCGAAAGCCUGAUCCAGCAAUGCCGCGUGAGUGAUGAAGGCCUUAGGGUUGUAAAGCUCUUUUACCCGGGAUGAUAAUGACAGUACCGGGAGAAUAAGCUCCGGCUAACUCCGUG
rnacentral:rRNA from 1 species